rnacentral:lncRNA from 1 species
AAGGAAACCACCAAGGAGGCCCAGUGCAAAGAGCUGUGCCAGCCCACGGUCAUGUCCAGGGAGGGAAGCGCCUUGGCAGCACCAUCUUCUGGUGUCAGGGUUGCCCUCCCAGUUUGGAAGGGGCUGCUCUGUCAGUUCUGCUGGUUGGCAAAGUUUCUGAACUUAUGUUUUCUUCUGAAUUACAGAGUUCAGUGGUGUGAACCACUCUGUCCACCACUGUAACUUAAGAAACUCUUUCAGGCAAGCCAGAAAGCCCAUACCACAUGCACAGGUAGGAUUUUAAAAAGAGUUUUCUCUAUUAUCUGUGCAAAAGAAGUCCACAGAGACCCUUUUCCACUCUUUCUCAAAUCCUUAGGGCCUAUGGAAGACUACUGACUAAUGGCGAGAGUGAGGAGAUGGAAUAGGGACAUCAUGGUAGAAGUCUCCUGGUGGCCUGGACCAAGUGCCGCAAACCAGAAAAGAACUUGGAUGCUUCACUUUGAAUUUGCCGCCAGUUCUCAUGGGCUAAUGUAUUCAAGAUAUAUGGCAAAAGCCUGCUUUGCAAUACCUCCAUUAUGAGCCUCACUGAACCAUCUUUACUAAACAGUGGGCCACACUCAGAGCAGUAACCUGAGCUGUGUUACCCUGUGUGCGCAAAGGUUGCAGUGGUUCUAUUUCCAUAAAGGACCCCUCUAAAUUCGAUGGGUUUGUCUGGUGAGUAGAUGAU